rnacentral:rRNA from 1 species
AUACGUAGGUGGCAAGCGUUGUCCGGAUUUAUUGGGCGUAAAGCGAGUGCGGAGGUCGUUUUUAAGUCUGAUGUGAAAGCCUUCGGCUUAACCGAAGAAGGGCAUCGGAAACUGGGAGACUUGAGUGCAGAAGAGGAGAGUGGAACUCCAUGUGUAGCGGUGAAAUGCGUAGAUAUAUGGAAGAACACCAGUGGCGAAGGCGGCUCUCUGGUCUGUAACUGACGCUGAGGCUCGAAAGCGUGGGUAGC